AUCUGCUCGGGAUAUUCUCCUGUGGUAAUAGAAAUCUCUUCCUACGAUAUCGUCUCUCAUCCUCUUGAGUCUCGUAUCUCGUGCUCGAUCCACCUCCACCUAGGGCUCCAUCUUGCUCUGGACUCCUCCUGACUUUUGAAGCUCCACCUCGCACUGGAUCUUUGUCAGGUAGUAAUGUCCUCUUGUCCUCUUCUUCUCCUGUAGAAUAACCCUAUCAUCGUGCAACACC
rnacentral:lncRNA from 1 species